UAGUUUUAGGGUUUGGUAUUGGUUGUGGCUGGGGUUUAUUCAUAGUAAUUUCGUGUCCUCAACAAAGUUGUUUGUUUGUUUAACGUACAAAUCAUACAAAGGGGUUUCAUGAAACAGCUAAGUAAUGCCAAAAAUACUUCUAUGCAUAUUUUAUAAUUGAUCCUUCAGUUCCAUGUGACAAUUCUUUAAUCACAACUCCAGCUUACGAAUUAUGAGAAUUUGGUACUGACAAUUUCCAGUUCUCCUCUUUCAGGUCAUUGUUUCUAUCUAACUCUUUCAACUUGAAAAUUUUGAUUUUGGAUCAUUAUGGAGUUACAAAAAUAUGUUACUGGUCGGUAUUGUUUUUAGGCUCUUCACGAGAUCUCUAACAUUUGUCAGAAUCAAUUUGAUUAAAAUAACAAUAAGUUCCAGAUUUAAGCUACAAGGUACUCAUCUUAAGAAGGCUGGAAGUUUAGGUCGACCUCUUUAAACAGAGGAUUGAUGUUGCUCAAGCUACGAUAGAGGAAAUUGGAAAGGCAAGUCUUAUUUGUCAAAUAUUUGAUGAUUUACUUCCCAUUUAAUGUCCACAAUCCAUACACGAAUUAUGAUUUGCUUCCUAUCUAUCUACAUAAAUGGAUUAUGUGACAAGGGCUUUUGGAACCUGAAAAUUCCCAGACGAAAGUCUAUGAUAUCAUAUGUCCGAAUUAUGAUCAGUAUAUAACCAUCUAAGCAAUCAUGGGUACUAUUUUGAUUCAACCUAAAUUGGAAACUUUGUCUGUAACAUAAAAAAAUUAUCAUGAGAAUCAGAUUCAGUUCGUUGUGGAGCACGGAGUACUGACUAUGAUUGCAGCUUUUGCAACACAACUUUAGUUGGGAUACGAGUGAUUAGGUAUUAGUUCAACCUGCACUGAUUUAUUAUUAGGUGCUUUUAUUUGUUUUUAUUAAUUAUAUUUGUUAGUAUCAAUAGUAAAACUCUAAA